UUUUCUAAACUUUAAAUGUGUUUAUUUCAUUGUUUUAGAAUUCAUAUUAGGAUGUUAAUGAAAUAUAUUUGUUAGUAAAUCUAGAUCCUGGUAAAAUAUUUCCAACAAGUCCACCGUGGCACUUAACUGUGAUUUUUGGAUAAAGGUAUGCAUAGUAAAACGGAACCAGGGUUUAGGUAAUUUAGCCGUCAAAAAUUUAGUUUUUGUGGUUAAGUGUUACAAACCGUAAAAUUCAGGUGGUUUAGCCGCCAGUAUCUUUUUUAUUUUUAAUUUAUAUAUUUUUCUAUGAAAAUAAAUAACACUAUAAAUUAACAAUUUCAAUCAUAUAUAUUGGAUAUAAUCAGGUCAAUUCGUGUUGAUACAUGUGUCGAUCCUAAUCCAACUCUAAUAAUAAUCGUACCAUUCAGGGCCGGGCAGAGGGUGGGGCAGCCGGGGCAUAGGCCUCAGGCCCCAUAAUUUUCGAGGCCCCAAAAAAAUUAAAAUUAGUAUAUAUACAUAUAUAAAAGUUUAUAGUAUAUUAAUAUUUAAUUUAACAAAUUACGAGAAGCUCUUGUGGCACAAGCGGUAAAUAGAGUGUUAUGUGUACCUUGAGAUCAAGGAUUCGAUCCUUCACACAUGCAUAUGUGUUUUGUUUUUGUAUUUCAAAGUGAUGUCUAAAAGGAAAAAAAGAUAAUAAGAAAUAAAUUAAAUAUUUUAAAGUAAA